AUGUUUGCUUUGGGGUGUUGGUGUGCGCGGGGGCAGGAGUACGGGAGUUGGCGGGGAGGUGGGAAUUGGGUGAAGAGGGAGGCCUUGGAUUUUAGUGGGAAAGGGAAGAAGGAUAGGGUCGCCCAAAUCCUGCCGACAAAGGACAACCAGCUUCAACUAGGAGGGUUUGUACACAAAUGGCCGGUUACUGGGGAGCCCGUACGACCGAAUUCAGGCCAGUUCCCGCAGAAAGGCGGCCCACUCACCUCUCCGCUGUUUGCUCUCCCAAGUCCUCGCAGGCGCCCACGCGGCUUAAACGGCUGCACGUGCAAGACGCCCACUGCGUCAGGGAGGUUCUGCCUACCCGAGGCUGCUGCUGUGCGGAGACCCCCGGGUGAAACCACCGUCAUCGUAUCUGACCAGGAGGCAAAACCUUUAACUGAGGACUUGGGGGAUAAGAAGGAAGGUGAAUAUAUUAAACUCAAAGUCAUUGGACAGGAUAGCAGUGAGAUUCACUUCAAAGUGAAAAUGACAACACAUCUCAAGACACUCAAAGAAUCAUACUGUCAAAGACAGGGCGUUCCAAUGAAUUCACUCAGGUUUCUCUUUGAGAGUUAGAGAAUUGCUGAUGAUCAUACUCCAAAAGAACUGGGAAUGGAGGAAGAAGAUGUGAUUGAAGUUUAUCAGGAACAAACGGGUAGUCAUUCAACAGUUUAGAUAUUCUUUUUAUUUUUUUUCUUUUCCCUCAAUCCUUUUUUAUUUUUAAAACUAGUUCUUUUGUAAUGUGGUGUUCAAAACGGAAUUGAAAACUGGCACCCAUCUCUUUGAAACAUCUGGUAAUUUGAAUUCUAGUGCUCAUUAUUCAUUAUUGUUUGUUUUCAUUGUGCUGAUUUUUGGUGAUCAAGCCUCAGUCCCCUUCAUAUUACCCUCUCCUUUUUAAAAAUUACGUGUGCACAGAGAGGCCACCUUUUUCAGGACAUUGCAUUUUCAGGCUUGUGGUGAUAAAUAAGAUUGACCAAUGCAAGUGUUCAUAAUGACUUUCCAAUUGGCCCUGAUGUUCUAGCAUGUGAUUGCUUCACUCCUGGACUAUGAGUUUCAGUGGGAAAGGGAAGUUUUUCAGAGAACUGAACUGUGGAAAAAUGACCUUUCUUUAACUUGAAGCUACUUUUAAAAUUUGAGGGUCUGGACCAAAAGAAGAGGAAUAUCAGGUUGAAGUCAAGAUGACAGAUAAGGUGAAAGUAAUAACUAACUCCAAAGAUGGCUUCACCGAAGAAAAGGCAUUUUAAGAUUUUUUAAAAAUCUUGUCAGAAGAUCCCAGAAAAGUUCUAAUUUUCAUUAGCAAUUAAUAAAACUAUACAUGCAGAAAUGAAUACAACAGAACACUGCUCUUUUUGAUUUUAUUUGUACUUUUUGGCCUGGGAUAUGGGUUUUAAAUGGACAUUGUCUGUACCAGCUUCAUUAAAAUAAACAAUA